UCAAAUCAAUUUCAUCUAAAAGAAAUUUCCAACUUCCUUUUAGAAAAUUAUUUUCCCAACUUUCAUAUAUAGUCUACAUCUCAAACAAAAUUCCAACUCUCAUAGUCCAAUAUAUUUAUGAAAACCCAAUCUUUCACCCCAUUUUUUGUUCAUUCAUAUCAAUCCAAAAGGAAAAAAAGCUCUUGAAUUUCAAUCAGAAAAUAUUCCUUUAAUAUGUUGUUUCUUCGACUUGUUUUGGGGUCAAUAUUCAUAGUUUGUUGCCUUACGACGCUUACAAAUGGAGCUACACUUGCCCAAGAUGAAGUGGAAGCUUUGAAAAGGAUUGGUAAAACAUUGGGGAAGAAAGGGUGGAACUUUGGUUUUGAUCCAUGCAGUCAACACCAUAGUUGGGUAGAUCAAUCCACACGUUAUUAUGCUAAUAAUGUUACAUGUGAUUGGUCCUUCAACAGUAACACUAUCUGUCAUGUGGUUCGCAUGUAAGUAUAUACAUGUAUAUAUGCAUAUAUAUCUUCCUUGAAAAGAAAAUUUAUGCAGUAUGUCCAAAUUUGUUUAGUUCGUGGAUUAUAUGAUUUUUUAAUCAUAUGAUUUAAUUUUAUUAAGAAAAGUACAUGAAAUUUGAGAUUUAAUAAAUAUGAAAUGAUAUCAUUUGAGCGUACUCUAUUACAUAUACAUAUAA